rnacentral:misc_RNA from 1 species
GAUGAAGAACGUAGCGAAAUGCGAUAAGUAAUGUGAAUUGCAGAAUUCAGUGAAUCAUCGAAUCUUUGAACGCACCUUGCGCCCUUUGGCCAUUCCGAAGGGCAUGCCUGUUUGAGUAUCAUGAACACCUCAACUCUUCAUGGUUUUCCAUGAUGAGCUUGGACUUUGGGGGUCUUGCUGGCCUGUGGAUCGGCUCCUCUCAAAUGAAUCAGCUUGCCGGUUUUUGGUGGGCAUCACAGGUGUGAUAACUAUCUACGCUUGUGGUUUUCCACCAGGGUAACCUUCAGCAGUGGAGGUUCACUGGAGCUUACAAAUGUCUCUCCUCUGUGAGGACAGCCCUUUGAAUGUUUGAUCUCAAAUCAGGUAGGACUACCCGCUGAACUUAAGCAUAUCAAUAAGCGGAGGA